CGCAACCUUCAUCUAUAAUUGUUCAUACAAAAAAGUCAUCUGAAAAACUGAGAAAAAAAAUAAAAGAACAGAGCUUCGUGUCUUCAUCUUCUCGGUUUCUCACCAGCACACUCUCAACGAACGUCUCUCUCAUUCCCAAUUCUGAGACUCAAACUGUCUCUUCUCUCUCACUGCCACUAGAGUCUCUCUCGAUCUCACUAGAUUCUCUACUCGUUCACACUCACCAGCGUCUCGUUGCUGCUCUCGUCUCGUCGCCGGCAUUUCAACGUCUCACGGCCUUCCCUGGGCUCCUCCUCGCCGGCGACAGAAGCACUCAUCAGAUCGUCGUCGCUCAUCGUCUUCUGGUUUCAAGUACUCGCUGUCGCGAGUCGCCGUGGAUCGUGGACCGUCAUAGGGUCGUCAAUUGCUUCGUCGCUCGUCCUCUUUUGGGGUCGGGUCCUCUUCGUCACCCAGUCGCCGUUGGAUUGUCACAAUACACAUAUUUCAUAACAAUUUGAUCACCGGUGAAAACUCAUACAGCAAACUCUCUUGUUGAUUUGAGGAGCUGUUUAAUUUAGCCAACUCAGAUUUAAGUGCCACUUCUCAGUACCAAUUUAGCAUUACCGGUUUUGAGCUCUAUAAUGAAUAGGUCCUGUUCUCUUUUACUUACUGUAUACAACUUUUCUGGUAUCCACUGUUUGCUUCCUGGUUUUGGUUGGCAAUUUUCUUGUAUACAACUCUUAAAGUUGUUUAUUUAAAAAAAGCCAAGUUCCUAGUUGUUUAUAAGUUAUCUUGGAAGUGAUUAUACUCCCUGUACAGAUUGCACAAAAUAUAAGAACUCAAGUAAGACUUUAUGUCACUAUCUAGCUAUUCUUUGUAAAAUGAGUGGAGAAACUUUAAUUUUCAGGAGGGGGAGACUCACAUAAAAAUGGCAAAAACAAUUUUUUUUUGUAGUUGCUGACGUGUUACUCUGUAAUUGGUUAUUUAUGUUACAUUUUGUAACUUCUCUUUGUAACAAAAAUUACAACCAAAAUAUAUAUUAUUAGAGAUGUCAACCAACUAUUUUAAUGGUGUAUGCAUGGAAAUGUGGAACUGUAUUAUGUAAGAUUAUUAUAUAUCUAGAUCGCAUGCAUGGACUUCUUCAAUCAAAAGGAGGGAAGACAUGGUAAAGGAUGAUGACACUAAGAGGCUCUACCAUUUCUACUUUAGCAAUAAUUUUGUAUAUUAUUAUUACUAUUAUGCAUAACAAGUUUGAACUCUUAAGUUA